rnacentral:tRNA from 1 species
GCCUGGUUGGCUCAGUUGGUAGAACGUGUGACUGGUGAUCACGGAUAGUGCGUUUGAACCCCACAAUGGGCA